GAUGAACGCUGGCGGCGUGCCUAAUACAUGCAAGUCGAGCGAACGGACGAGAAGCUUGCUUCUCUGAUGUUAGCGGCGGACGGGUGAGUAACACGUGGAUAACCUACCUAUAAGACUGGGAUAACUUCGGGAAACCGGAUCUAAUACCGGAUAAUAUUUUGAACCGCAUGGUUCAAAAGUGAAAGACGGUCUUGCUGUCACUUAUAGAUGGAUCCGCGCUGCAUUAGCUAGUUGGUAAGGUAACGGCUUACCAAGGCAACGAGGCAUAGCCGACCUGAGAGGGUGAUCGGCCACACUGGAACUGAGACACGGUCCAGACUCCUACGGGAGGCAGCAGUAGGGAAUCUUCCGCAAUGGGCGAAAGCCUGACGGAGCAACGCCGCGUGAGUGAUGAAGGUCUUCGGAUCGUAAAGCUCUGUUAUUAGGGAAGAACAUAUGUGUAAGUAACUGUGCACAUCUUGACGGUACCUAAUCAGAAAGCCACGGCUAACUACGUG
rnacentral:rRNA from 1 species